rnacentral:misc_RNA from 1 species
GAAAUGCGAUAAGUAAUGUGAAUUGCAGAAUUCAGUGAAUCAUCGAAUCUUUGAACGCAUCUUGCGCUCCUUGGUAUUCCUUGGAGCAUGCCUGUUUGAGUAUCAUGAAAUCUUCAAAGUAAAUCUUUUGUUAACUCAAUUGGUUUCUACUUUGUUAUUGGAGGUCUUUGCAGCUUCACACCUGCUCCUCUUUGUUCAUUAGCUGGAUCUCAGUGUUAUGCUUGGUUCCACUCGGCGUGAUAAGUUAUCUAUCGCUGAGGACACUGUAAAAGGUGGCCAAGGUAAAUGCAGAUGAACCGCUUCUAAUAGUCCAUUGACUUGGACAAUACUUUUAUGAUCUGAUCUCAAAUCAGGUAGGACUACCCGCUGAACUUAAGC